AUGCAUAUUAUGGACAACAUUGCAAGGUUUUUAUUUGGCACGUCUCGGGAAAGUUUUUUGCAAGGUUUGUGGACUAUUUUGGUAGCAGCAGCAGGGGUGUUUUAUAGUGAUGCAUUGCAAAGGGUUUUGUGGACUGCUGUAUGGUGCAGGGCAGCAGCAAUGGUUUUACCUAGCAGGCCUUUGGACCGUUUCUUGGACAUAGAGAGCUAG